UCCCAGACUCCUACGGGAGGCAGCAGUGAGGAAUAUUGGUCAAUGGGCUUACGCCUGAACCAGCCAAGUCGCGUGAGGGAAGACUGCCCUAUGGGUUGUAAACCUCUUUUGUCAGGGAGCAACGCCGGCUACGUGUAGCCGGACUGAGAGUACCUGAAGAAAAAGCAUCGGCUAACUCCGUGCCAGCAGCCGCGGUAAUACGGAGGAUGCGAGCGUUAUCCGGAUUUAUUGGGUUUAAAGGGUGCGUAGGCGGAAUGCCAAGUCAGCGGUAAAAUCGCGGGGCUCAACCCCGUACUGCCGUUGAAACUGCAUCCCUUGAGUGCGCGAGAAGUAUGCGGAAUGCGUGGUGUAGCGGUGAAAUGCAUAGAUAUAACGCAGAACUCCGAUUGCGAAGGCGGCAUACCGGCGCGCAACUGACGCUCAUGCACGAAAGCGUGGGUAUCGAACAGGAUUAGAUACCCUCGUAAAC
rnacentral:rRNA from 1 species